rnacentral:rRNA from 1 species
AUUGAACGCUGGCGGCAUGCCUUACACAUGCAAGUCGAACGGUAACAGGUCUUCGGAUGUUGACGAGUGGCGAACGGGUGAGUAAUACAUCGGAACGUGCCCGAUCGUGGGGGAUAACGGAGCGAAAGCUUUGCUAAUACCGCAUACGAUCUACGGAUGAAAGCAGGGGACCGCAAGGCCUUGCGCGGACGGAGCGGCCGAUGGCAGAUUAGGUAGUUGGUGGGAUAAAAGCUUACCAAGCCGACGAUCUGUAGCUGGUCUGAGAGGACGACCAGCCACACUGGGACUGAGACACGGCCCAGACUCCUACGGGAGGCAGCAGUGGGGAAUUUUGGACAAUGGGCGAAAGCCUGAUCCAGCCAUGCCGCGUGCAGGAUGAAGGCCUUCGGGUUGUAAACUGCUUUUGUACGGAACGAAAAGACUCUUUCUAAUAAAGAGGGUCCAUGACGGUACCGUAAGAAUAAGCACCGGCUAACUACGUG